GAUGAAGAACGUAGCGAAAUGCGAUAAGUAAUGUGAAUUGCAGAAUUCAGUGAAUCAUCGAAUCUUUGAACGCACCUUGCGCUCCUUGGUAUUCCGAGGAGCAUGCCUGUUUGAGUGUCAUUAAUAUAUCAACCUUCUCUUUUUUGAGUUGUUUGGAUGUGGGGGUUUGCUGGCCUCUUAAAUGAUUCAGCUCCCCUGAAAUGCAUUAGCAGAACAACCUGUUCAUUAGCGUGAUAAUUAUCUAUGCUAUUGAAUGUGAGGGCAGUUCAGCUUUCUAACCGUCCUUGGACAAUUCAUCAUUAAUGUGACCUCAAAUCAGGUAGGACUACCCGCUGAACUUAAGCAUAUCGAUAAGCGGAGGA
rnacentral:misc_RNA from 1 species